rnacentral:rRNA from 1 species
GACGAACGCUGGCGGCGUGCUUAACACAUGCAAGUCGAGCGGUAAGGCCCUUUCGGGGGUACACGAGCGGCGAACGGGUGAGUAACACGUGGGUGACCUGCCCUCAGCUCUGGGAUAAGCCUGGGAAACCGGGUCUAAUACUGGAUAUGACUCCAUGACGCAUGUUGUGGGGUGGAAAGCCUUGUGCGGCUGAGGAUGGGCCCGCGGCCUAUCAGCUUGUUGGUGGGGUGANGGCCUACCAAGGCGACGACGGGUAGCCGGCCUGAGAGGCGACCGGCCACACUGGGACUGAGACACGGCCCAGACUCCUACGGGAGGCAGCAGUGGGGAAUAUUGGACAAUGGGCGCAAGCCUGAUCCAGCGAUGCCGCGUGUGUGAAGAAGGCCUGCGGGUU